UACGGGGGGUGCGAGCGUUGUCCGGAAUCACUGGGCGUAAAGGGCGCGUAGGUGGCCGAGCAAGGUCGCGGUGAAAGCCCGGGGCUCAACCCCGGGUCGGCCGUGGCAACUACUCGGCUCGAGCACUGUAGGGGCGGGUGGAAUUCCGGGUGUAGCGGUGGAAUGCGCAGAUAUCAGGAGGAACACCGGUGGCGAAGGCGGGAUCCUGGGCCAGUACUGACGCUGAGGAGCGAAAGCGUGGGGAGCAAACAGG
rnacentral:rRNA from 1 species